CUGACAAAAUUAUUCAAUGAAUUAAGCUUUUCUCCUGCAGUGGGGUACAAGUACAAUGAUCAAAUUUGAGGCGAAGCAUUUAGACAUUCCUUAAAUUUUUUAACUAAAAAUUAGCAAGAAAUUACAUUGACCUACUAUAUAUUAAAAUCUCGGAGGAGAAAAAAUAAAGAUAAAAAAUAUGAAGAAAGAUUAAAAUUGCAGAAGGGAAAUGGUAAAAUAAUUUAUAGGAACAUUUAAUUAGGUGAUACAGUGCAUUUGAACUGAUGUUCCAACUUAUGUGAUGAUGAAAAUAUAUAAAUUAUUCGAAAUAUAUAUGCUUACAGAUAAAAAAUCCCACAACACCAGCUUGAUGACAUUAGCAAAUAAGAUUGUUAUAAUGUAAUCUAAAUAAACUCUGUCAAUAUCUCCAUUCUUUCUAAAAGUCGCGUAUUUUUUUUGCUUUUGCUCAUAUAUUGGUAGGAACUGUGUAAACACCGUGCUCUUCAACUGAAGUUUCUGUAUGGAAUUGGCUACUGUCCUGUUGGUGCUCUCUCAUUGGUGAUAAACAACUUCAGUAAAAUGUGUCCUAUUACUCAUUUCAAGACUUCUCAAAAUCUCUUCGGAAACAGAACAACACAGCCUUAUCUUAUUCAGACCAUUGUGUACAAUAAUGGCAGUGAUGAAUGUAAGAUGGGGCAUUUUCUCUGAUUUUUUAUGAAUAAGGUUCCAAUAAGGGUAUACAAGAACGCGAAUCAGACGAACAAUUUCUUUUCCAAUUGACAGGCCAAUGUAAGUACUUUCUAGCACAUGGAAUGCAGAUAACUGGGCUACUAUAGGAGGCUUGGACAAGAUAAACUGCAUAAGUGCACCAUUUUGUAGCAUGUUAUACGAAUUUUAGUUUAGAUGCUUGUCAAUGGAAAUCCCUUUUCUCUGCUCGUGUUUCCACCACUAUCCAUUGUUGGGAUCAGUAUAAUGCUUGUUGCUUUCUGUCAUAAUCAAGGGUCAAACCAGUUUUGGACUUACAAUUA